AGGGUGACGAAGCGACGCCGCGUGAGUGAGGAAGGCCUUCGGGUUGUAAAGCUCUGUCAGGAGUUAAGAAAUAUAAGUGUGCUAAUACCACAUUUAUUUGACGAAGGCUCCAAAGGAAGCCACGGCUAACUCUGUGCCAGCAGCCGCGGUAAUACAGAGGUGGCAAGCGUUGUUCGGAAUUAUUGGGCGUAAAGAGCACGUAGGUGGGUUUGUAAGUCAGAUGUGAAAGCCUUCUGUUCAACGGAAGAAUUGCAUCUGAAACUGCGAGUCUUGAGUGUAGGAGGGGAGAAUGGAACUUCUGGUGGAGCGGUGAAAUGCGUAGAUAUCAGAAGGAACGCCGGCGGCGAAAGCGAUUCUCUGGCCUAUUACUGACGCUCAGUGUGCGAAAGCUAGGGGAGCAAACGGGAUUAGAUACCCCGGUAGUCCUAGCCGUAAACGAUGGGCACUAAGUAGAGGGAAUUACCGAUGUUCUCUCUGCCGUAGCUAACGCAUUAAGUGCCCCGCCUGGGGAGUACGGCCGCAAGGCUAAAACUCAAAAGAAUUGACGGGGGCUCGCACAAGCGGUGGAGCAUGUGGCUUAAUUCGAUGCAACGCGAAGAACCUUACCGGGGCUUGACAUGGUAGAAGUAGGAACCCGAAAGGGUAACGAACGGUAUCCAGUCCGUAACUAUCACAGGUGUUGCAUGGCUGUCGUCAGCUCGUGUCGUGAGACGUUGGGUUAAGUCCCCUAACGAGCGAAACCCUUGUUUUUAGUUACCAGCGGGUUGUGCCGGGUACUCUAGAAAGACUGCCGUCGUCAAGACGGAGGAAGGUGGGGAUGACGUCAAGUCAUCAUGGCCCUUAUGCCCCGGGCUGCACACGUGCUAC
rnacentral:rRNA from 1 species